GACGAACGCUGGCGGCGUGCUUAACACAUGCAAGUCGAACGGAAAGGCCUGCUUUCCCUUGUGGAUUGCGGGUACUCGAGUGGCGAACGGGUGAGUAACACGUGAGUGAUCUGCCCCCAACUUGGGUAUAAGCCUGGGAAACUGGGUCUAAUUCCCGAUAGGACUGCAGGGUGGUGCCUGUGGUGGAAAACGAUUUUCUAGUGGUUGGGGAUGAGCUCGCGGCCUAUCAGCUUGUUGGUGGGGUAAUGGCCUACCAAGGCGGCGACGGGUAGCCGGCCUGGGAGGGUGGACGGCCACAUUGGGACUGAGAUACGGCCCAGACGCCUACGGGAGGCAGCAGUGGGGAAUAUUGGACAAUGGGCGGAAGCCUGAUGCAGCGACGCCGCGUGGGGGAUGACGGCCUUCGGGUUGUAAACUCCUUUCGACCGCGAGGAAGCCACCUGGUUGGAAGGGUGGUGACGGUAGUGGUAGAAGAAGCACCGGCUAACUACGUG
rnacentral:rRNA from 1 species